UCAGUAACGGCGAGUGAAGCGGUAACAGCUCAAAUUUGAAAUCUGGCCUCACGGUCCGAGUUGUAAUUUGUAGAGGAUGCUUCGAGCAUGGUCUGGCCUAAGUUCCUUGGAACAGGACGUCAUAGAGGGUGAGAAUCCCGUAUGCGGCCAGGUGCCUACGCUCAUGUGAAGCUCCUUCGACGAGUCGAGUUGUUUGGGAAUGCAGCUCAAAAUGGGUGGUAAAUUUCAUCUAAAGCUAAAUAUUGGCCAGAGACCGAUAGCGCACAAGUAGAGUGAUCGAAAGAUGAAAAGCACUUUGGAAAGAGAGUUAAACAGUACGUGAAAUUGUUGAAAGGGAAGCGCUUGCAACCAGACUUGCGCGCGGCCGAUCAUCCGGUGUUCUCACCGGUGCACUCGGCCGUGCUCAGGCCAGCAUCGGUUUUGGCGGCUGGAUAAAGGCCCUAGGAAUGUAGCUCCUCUCGGGGAGUGUUAUAGCCUAGGGUGCAAUGCAGCCUGCUGGGACCGAGGACCGCGCUUCGGCUAGGAUGCUGGCGUAAUGGUUGUAAGCGGCCCGUCUUGAAACACGGACCAAGGAGUCUAACAUCUAUGCGAGUGUUUGGGUGUCAAACCCAUACGCGUAAUGAAAGUGAACGGAGGUGAGAACCCUUAAGGGUGCAUCAUCGACCGGUCCUGAAGUUUACGGAAGGAUCUGAGUAAGAGCAUAGCUGUUGGGACCCGAAAGAUGGUGAACUAUG
rnacentral:rRNA from 1 species